rnacentral:rRNA from 1 species
GUGCCAGCAGCCGCGGUAAUACGGAGGGCCCGAGCGUUAUCCGGAAUCAUUGGGUUUAAAGGGUCCGCAGGCGGUCAAUUAAGUCAGAGGUGAAAUCCCAUAGCUUAACUAUGGAACUGCCUUUGAUACUGGUUGACUUGAGUCAUAUGGAAGUAGAUAGAAUGUGUAGUGUAGCGGUGAAAUGCAUAGAUAUUACACAGAAUACCGAUUGCGAAGGCAGUCUACUACGUAUGUACUGACGCUGAGGGACGAAAGCGUGGGGAGCGAACAGGAUUAGAUACCCUGGUAGUCCACGCCGUAAACGAUGGAUACUAGUUGUUGGGCAUUAGCUCAGUGACUAAGCGAAAGUGAUAAGUAUCCCACCUGGGGAGUACGGUCGCAAGACUGAAACUCAAAGGAAUUGACGGGGGCCCGCACAAGCGGUGGAGCAUGUGGUUUAAUUCGAUGAUACGCGAGGAACCUUACCAGGGCUUAAAUGUAGUCUGACAGCUUUAGAGAUAGAGUUUUCUUCGGACAGAUUACAAGGUGCUGCAUGGUUGUCGUCAGCUCGUGCCGUGAGGUGUCAGGUUAAGUCCUAUAACGAGCGCAACCCCUGUCAUUAGUUGCCAGCAUGUAAAGAUGGGGACUCUAAUGAGACUGCCGGUGCAAACCGCGAGGAAAGGUGGGGAUGACGUCAAAUCAUCACGGCCCUUACGUCCUGGGCCACACACGUGCUACAAUGGUAUGGACA